AACGCACAUUGCGCCCGCUAGUAUUCUGGCGGGCAUGCCUGUUCGAGCGUCAUUUCAACCAUCAAGCGCAUGCGCUUGUGUUGGAGCCCUGCGGCUGCCGCAGGCUCCCAAACCCAGUGGCGGGCUCGUCGUCGUACCGAGUGCAGUAAAUUUACCACGCUCAGGGCGCGCGACGGGUGACCGGCCGUAAAACCCCCAACUUAUCAAGGUUGACCUCGGAUCAGGUAGGAAUACCCGCUGAACUUAA
rnacentral:misc_RNA from 1 species